rnacentral:rRNA from 1 species
UCAGUAACACGUAGCCAACAUGCCCAGGGGACGUGGAUAACCUCGGGAAACUGAGGAUAAACCGCGAUAGGCCAUGAUUUCUGGAAUGGUUCAUGGCCGAAAUCUAUAUGGCCCCUGGAUUGGACUGCGGCCGAUACAGGCUGUUGGUGAGGUAAUGGCCCACCAAACCUGUAACCGGUACGGGCUCUGAGAGGAGGAGCCCGGAGAUGGGCACUGAGACAAGGGCCCAGGCCCUAUGGGGCGCAGCAGGCGCGAAAUCUCUGCAAUAGGCGAAAGCUUGACAGGGUUACUCUGAGUGGUUCCCGUUAAGGGGAUCUUUUGGCACCUUUCAAAAAUGGUGCAGAAUAAGGGGUAGGGCAAGUCUGGUGCCAGC